GCAUGGUAAUGGAUUUAUGGCAGGCCUUUCUCUGUCAGCCUGUCAUAGUAUUCCCACACCAGAAUAAACUGCAGCCUCAAACCACUGCUCUGCCUCCUUACCAGUGGACUGUGAGCAACGAUGAGGGAUUGUACAAUU